AAUACAUGCAAGUCGAGCGAAUGGAUUAAGAGCUUGCUCUUAUGAAGUUAGCGGCGGACGGGUGAGUAACACGUGGGUAACCUGCCCAUAAGACUGGGAUAACUCCGGGAAACCGGGGCUAAUACCGGAUAACAUUUUGAACCGCAUGGUUCGAAAUUGAAAGGCGGCUUCGGCUGUCACUUAUGGAUGGACCCGCGUCGCAUUAGCUAGUUGGUGAGGUAACGGCUCACCAAGGCAACGAUGCGUAGCCGACCUGAGAGGGUGAUCGGCCACACUGGGACUGAGACACGGCCCAGACUCCUACGGGAGGCAGCAGUAGGGAAUCUUCCGCAAUGGACGAAAGUCUGACGGAGCAACGCCGCGUGAGUGAUGAAGGCUUUCGGGUCGUAAAACUCUGUUGUUAGGGAAGAACAAGUGCUAGUUGAAUAAGCUGGCACCUUGACGGUACCUAACCAGAAAGCCACGGCUAACUACGUGCCAGCAGCCGCGGUAAUACGUAGGUGGCAAGCGUUAUCCGGAAUUAUUGGGCGUAAAGCGCGCGCAGGUGGUUUCUUAAGUCUGAUGUGAAAGCCCACGGCUCAACCGUGGAGGGUCAUUGGAAACUGGGAGACUUGAGUGCAGAAGAGGAAAGUGGAAUUCCAUGUGUAGCGGUGAAAUGCGUAGAGAUAUGGAGGAACACCAGUGGCGAAGGCGACUUUCUGGUCUGUAACUGACACUGAGGCGCGAAAGCGUGGGGAGCAAA
rnacentral:rRNA from 2 species